rnacentral:rRNA from 1 species
AUUGAACGCUGGCGGCAUGCCUUACACAUGCAAGUCGAACGGCAGCACGGGAGCAAUCCUGGUGGCGAGUGGCGAACGGGUGAGUAAUAUAUCGGAACGUGCCCGGUCGUGGGGAUAACGUAGCGAAAGCUACGCUAAUACCGCAUACGAUCUACGGAUGAAAGCGGGGGGAUCGCAAGACCUCGCGCGAUUGGAGCGGCCGAUAUCAGAUUAGGUAGUUGGUGAGGUAAAGGCUCACCAAGCCGACGAUCUGUAGCUGGUCUGAGAGGACGACCAGCCACACCUGGGACUGAGACACGGCCAGACUCCUACGGGAGCAGCAGUGGG